rnacentral:rRNA from 1 species
UACGUAGGGUGCGAGCGUUAAUCGGAAUUACUGGGCGUAAAGCGCAUGUAGGCGGCUUUGUAAGUCAGGUGUGAAAUCUCUGGGCUCAACCCAGAGCGUGCACUUGAUACUGCUAAGCUUGAGUAUGGGAGAGGGUAGUAGAAUUCCUGGUGUAGUGGUGAAAUACGUAGAUAUCAGGAGGAAUACCGGUGGCGAAGGCGGCUGCCUGGCCCAAUACUGACGUUGAGAUGCGAAAGCGUGGGGAGCAAACAGG